GACGAACGCUGGCGGCGUGCUUAACACAUGCAAGUCGAACGGAAAGGCCCUGCUUUUGUGGGGUGCUCGAGUGGCGAAAGGGUGAGUAACACGUGAGUAACCUGCCCUUGACUUUGGGAUAACUUCAGGAAACUGGGGCUAAUACCGGAUAGGAGCUCCUGCUGCAUGGUGGGGGUUGGAAAGUUUCGGCGGUUGGGGAUGGACUCGCGGCUUAUCAGCUUGUUGGUGGGGUAGUGGCUUACCAAGGCUUUGACGGGUAGCCGGCCUGAGAGGGUGACCGGCCACAUUGGGACUGAGAUACGGCACAGACUCCUACGGGAGGCAGCAGUGGGGAAUAUUGCACAAUGGUCGGAAGCCUGAUGCAGCAACGCCGCGUGCGGGAUGACGGCCUUCGGGUUGUAAACCGCUUUCGCCUGUGACGAAGCGUGAGUGACGGUAAUGGGUAAAGAGGCACGGGCUAACUACGUG
rnacentral:rRNA from 1 species